CUUUCCAGAUAGUGAGACUCAGUUCUCUCCGCCGUCUCUCUGCUUUGUGCUAGUUGCUUAAGUCGUUGAUUCAGCUGUUGUGCCCUCUCGAUGCCGCCAUCGUUGAGAUUCAUAAUGUUGAAGAAAUCGUGAAAACAGUAAUGAAGGAUGGUGAGACAUCACCAUGUUGUGAAAACUGUACAAUAUUUACAACCUAAGCUGUUGGAUGAGAAGCAGACUACUAUUUAUAAGAGAGCUGUUGACAGGAACUACCAUUUGAAAAUGAAAGCAUCGAGGUUUAUUUUCAGUGAAAUAAGUCAGAAAUUUCCCAUCACGCCAUUCACUGCUUGGGCUCUGGAGGAGGAGGGCUCGGCUGGGUUUGGUGGAAUGUGUUAAUCAUGACCUCUUACAGCCAUAUCCUAUGCUUCAUGAGAAGCCUGACGAUUUUGUUGCACACAUCAAAUUCACAGUUUUACUAAUGCCAAAUGGGUAAGAUCGGAUUACAUCUCAUUCUCUGCAAGAACUGCAACCCACAAAGACAAUAGAUGAUCCUGAAAUCAAGGCGUGGUUAGCCUUGGGCACAAAGACAAAGAAGAAAGGUGGUGGAAAGAAGAAGAAAAGUAAAAAGGGAGACAAAACAGAGGAGUCAACAGAAACGGAGCCUAUGGAUUCUACAACAAAUGGUGCCGCUUCCCAAGAAUGAGUUUCCCCACCCUCCCCCCCCUCCCAUUUCUCGACCCGCGCCCUGUCAAUUUUGGUACUUAUUGUCCAGUUCAUUGUAUCAGGUUGGAUGAGUUGGUUUAUGAUAGUGUUUAGACUGUAAUCCUGAUUGUGUUUUCCUGCGUAUACGCCUUUUUGUGUCUUUUUCAAGUGUUCCUAAUGUCUUACACAAUUUAGAGGCACAGAAGGUUGGUUUCGAUCGACCAUAAGAGGCGGGUGUUGUGUG